rnacentral:lncRNA from 1 species
UAAGCGAAGGAUAUUUGUUUCAAAGCCUCUGUUACGAGUGAAAAAUGUGGCAAUGGAAGUAAGGAGUCACAGCUUACUUCUAUUCGGAUUCCAUCUCUACUAGGACAAUCCUGAUAUCCUUAUCAUCAUUUAUAUUCAAUUCCUUGGAGAUUCAUAAAGAAGGCAUGUGCAAAAUAUCUGAAUCUGGAACAGAUCUACACUUGAGGUUUUUUAUUGCAUUUUCUGUAUCUUAUUCUUUUGUAGGAAUGCAUCCAUAAUUUCGGUUUAAAAUUUGUUUGGAUGGUUCAGAAUCUUCAGAUGGCAUGGAUGAGACAUAAUUUGUUGUAUUCGGAUAUUUUUCAUGGUUACAAGUUAGGAAAUUUUGGUUCUAUUGCCAGAGCAUACUUUAUCUUUUCAUUUCCAUCAAUCCAUCUUGAUGUGUGAUCGGGUCGCUGUGUGAUGUUGUUAGCUAUUGAUAUGGUGUCUGUUUACAUCUGUUCAUAAGUACACUCUUUGACUAUUGUUUAUUUGAGACAUAUAGCAAGCACAAGAAAAAUCUGCGUGUGAAUUCCUAGAUAGCUUUUGAUAUUUUGGUCCUCUGGCCUUGUUCACACAUAGUGACUAACAGCCUUGGAAAAUUGGAUGGUCCUUGUGUCGGUACUUUACCAGAUUAUCGCAGAUAAAUUGCAAGAACCGGAAAUAUGUAGCUCCAGAAUUAGGGAACUAGAAAUAACUGAUUAUUUUCGCCAGAAAAUAGCUAGGUUUUUAUAGACCUUCAUUAUUAUAUACUUUUGCAUUUGCUGCAUUCUUUCUUUCAAGUUGUUUCAUUAUUUUUCCAUGUUAUCAUUAGGAUGCCCAGUGUAUUUCUGUUCAUAUGUACAUGCAUUGUGUAUGGUUUAUUUGUCCUAUCUGCCAGUGUCUAAGCGUGACAAGCAGCAAAGAGGGAGGGGGUAUUUCAAAUACAAAGCAAAAUGUGCACAAAAUAGAUGCGCCUCACACUGUCAUAGUAUAGACUGGAACAAAAUACACAUUGUAUAUAUAUAAUUACUACUAUUAUCCAGUGCUCAUGAUUUAUGUUCACAUAGAUACAUGGUAACAACAACAUACCUGGUAUUAUGGACAAUGACUACUCCAUUGCCACAACUGUAGAAUACACCAGACUGGCCAAAAGUGCUCCACUGCCUCAACUGUAGAAUACACCGGACUGGCCAAAAGUUGUCCAUAGCCACAACUAUAGAACACACUGGACCGACCAAAAGAUGCCUACAUAUGACCAAUAACUACAGAUAUGCUCUCCUGGACCAUGGUUUGUUGUUUAACCACUGUUACCUGACCAAAAAUUCAAAAACCACUGUCACCUCUUUUCUGAAUCAGAAGAUGGCUGACUCUCUGAUAUACUACUAGAAAAAAGCAUAGCCCAAAAAGCAUGAAUGAAUGAUGGAUCUGAACAUGUACUUCAUUAGUGAUGUGCAUAGCACAAAAAAUAUGGAUGGCAAUACAUGGCUGACGGAAAUGGUAACUUCAAAAAUUACAUGACAACCAAAACUUUAUGCAAGUCUAUGAAGAAAAUCAUUGUAUCAUUUUUCUUUAAUUAAUUUCGAAACAUACCUUCCUCUUGCAGCAGUCUUGCUCAUUCGGCCCUUCAACAGCAGUUCACCGAUUAGUUUAUCAGUCGGCGGCGGCAGCAGUGGUCUUCAGCACGGCAGCAGGCAGCACGAGCGGAGAAGGUAGUGAGAGAAGGAGAAGAAGCAGCAGAAACUAGCAGACACCCCGCACCCGUUGUGGCGGCCUGGAGGGGCGGCGAGAGUUGGCAAGGCAGGCGGCCAAUGGUUGGCAGUAGUGAGAAGCGAGUGAAAGACCUGGUUGACUUGGGGAAAGGAGGAGAACAGAGGACUGGUCGAUUUAGGGAAAGAAGAGCAGAUAAGGUUUGGUAGAUUUGGGGGAAAGGAGGAGGAGAGACGAGCGUGCGUGACAGCAGGUAGUCGGUGUAUUGGGCUUGGAUAUAUUUGAGCUGGGCCAAAUGCUUAUAGUGUACUUAAUUAUCCUUUUCAAUUAUGAAAUGGUGGGUCGUGGCACCCAUUUUAAUUUUGCAUGUUCUGUUAGGUUGCCUUCUGUAUGCCAGUUAGUAUUCAGUUUUCUUUUCUUUUGUUUGUUUGUAUUUCUUAAAAGCUAAUGUUGUUGCACAGUUUUUUUAACCUUUUCUUUUUGCUGGGAGAAAGAUGAUGCUCUUUCUUAGAAAAUUACUUAUUAGAUGGAACGGUAGUCACCUUGCAAAGUUCUUCCACCAAAUGUUUUUGUGUGUGCAACUUAUGAUCGGUUUUUCUAUUCAUUUAUUCUACAGUUUUAUUCUGCAGAAACAACAUGGCAGACAAGAAAAGAAAAAAGUUUAAUUUUGGGGAUGGCGAAAGACUACAUAUCUUAGUUACCACAAGUUUGGUGAUCAAAGCAACCUACAUGAUGCAUCUCUGCGUAUGUAGCUUUGCAUACCAGAAGUUGGGUGAUCAAAGCAGUUUACAUGAUGCAUCUCCGCCUAAGUAGGUUUGCUUAGCAUAAACUGAUCUCACUACUUUCUUUAGCCUAUGAACCUACCAGCAAUGUAAUAUAUAGUGCUACAUAUGAUCAAUUUCUUAUACUUAAAGAAUACCGGUCUCUAAAUAUUCCAACUUCCAUGGUUUGAAAGCUUGG